CCCGGGACGCGGCGCAUUUGGCCGGUGUGGUACAGAGAAGCCGGCUUGUUUACUGCCCGUCCCGGG
rfam:Patagioenas fasciata monilis isolate BTP2013 Sc31e1R_131, whole genome shotgun sequence.